rnacentral:rRNA from 1 species
AAACCCAAACCCUAGGCAGGGGAUCACUCGGCUCGUGGAUCGAUGAAGACCGCAGCUAAAUGCGCGUCAGAAUGUGAACUGCAGGACACAUGAACACCGACACGUUGAACGCAUAUUGCACAUCGUACCUCCAGUACGAUGUACACAUUUUUGAGUGCCUAU